UUACUAUGGUUGGGGAAUUUAGGAGCCGUUCACCCUGGUUAAUCCUACGGUGGGAAAAUCAGUAGUACUGAAAAGAACUGAAAAUUAAGUACUGGAAAGUACUAGUAAGUACUGAAAUUAUUUAUUUAUUUUAAUUUAAUAAAAGGGCAAUUAUGUAAUUCACGUCCAGAUGCACUCCAUACUCUGACUUCUCCCUCCUCUCGUCGCCGCUCCAUCCCAUUCCCAUCGCACCAUGGAGUCGGCCGUUGCCCCUGGCCGCCUCCCUGAUGCUGACGCCCUCCCCCUCACAACACGACCCCCUCCCCGCCGGAAUACUGCCUCGCCGUCCGUCCGCGCUCGCUCACCAGCACCACCCCCUAGCCCCUGCAAAAUUCCCCUUUCCGGCCGCCACUCCGGCACCGUGCUGGACGGCGGCCACACCUCGUACCGUGCCGUGCAGCUCCGCGCGGGAUUCGUUGCCCAGGACGACGUGAUCCACCCGCAGCUCAUCGUCUGCAAGACGUGGAGCUCUCCAACGACCUCCAGGUCACCACCGGUGGACCGCCGGGGCGAGGAAAAGUAGUUGUAGCCAGAUGUAGAAAUUGAGCGUGGCAUAGAAGCUGCGGGUGUCCGGGCCGCCGCAGGACUAGCCGCCUGCUCUACAUCGCGCCAGGCCAAGGCAGACGAGGUGGAGCCCAUGGUAAGCGCGGUGUCGAAGUUGGGGGUGGCCAGCGCGACGUGUCAGAGGCACUGGUGGCGGUGACGAUGAUGAUCAGGUGCUAUCUCAGGUGUGUCCGAUCCACUACAACACUUUUUUUUGGGUUCAGUUGCUAAUGCACCGAUGGACAUGUGCAGCAAGAAUGGUUGCUUCGCCAAGGUGAAUGGAUCCCCGUCCUGAAUAGAGCUAGUGUUCGUUGAUUACAAUGGUGGAUUGGCCAAGGUGAAUGGAUCCCUGUCCUGAAUGGAGCUAGUGUUCGUUGAUUACAAUGGUUGCUUGGCCAAGGGACCAUGGAUUCAAAGGUGUGUCACAACAAUGUGGGGGUGGAUACACAUGUGCAUCACGAGGGUGACGAUAUGGACAAGAGGGUGCAGUGCGAGCAUGAUGAGAUGGACAAGAAGGUGAGGCAAGAACUUGCAGCCAUGGACAGGGUGAUGAAGCAGGAGUGCGACAAGCUGGAGCGGAAGUUCAAAAGCAUCCAUGAGGAGAUGUAAAUGAAGGUGAAGUCGGAGCAUGAGGAGAUGGACCGGAAGAUGAUGGAAGAACGUCCGGCCACGGAUCGGGUGUUAAAGUAGGAGCAUGAGAAAUUGGAGAAAGAUGGGUCGUCACCAAGGACGGAGCAACCUGAACUGAACACUCAUAACAGGACAUUGAACUUUAGCAGUUUCGAUGAGCACAUGCACACAUAGUCUCUACUCUUGUUGACAAAAACUGUAAUUCAACCACUCAUCUUUGUUCACUUUACCAUACACAGAUUUCUCUACUCCAAUUUGUGAUUUUACAGAUGAUAUUUGGGUGCUAUUUUUUAUUUUUAUUCUGAACAAAUGUGGGUGCGAAUGGUUAAAACUUUUAUGAGCAGUUCAACUGCUACAUUGUUUUCGUAA